rnacentral:rRNA from 1 species
UACAGAGGUCUCGAGCGUUGUUCGGAUUCAUUGGGCGUAAAGGGUGCGUAGGCGGCGCGGUAAGUCGGGUGUGAAAUCUUGGAGCUUAACUCCGAAACUGCAUUCGAUACUGCCGUGCUUGAGGACUGGAGAGGAGACUGGAAUUUACGGUGUAGCGGUGAAAUGCGUAGAUAUCGUAAGGAAGACCAGUGGCGAAGGCGGGUCUCUGGACAGUUCCUGACGCUGAGGCACGAAGGUCAGGGGAGCAAACGGG